UUCCUAGUCAAUUAAAAUAUCGUGUGAAUAUAAUUGAAACCUCAAACAAUAGAUGAUAGUUAGGAAGAAAGAAAAACACAUGGAUGAAUAAAACUUCUAAUUUUUUUUGCCAAAACUAAAAAAUAAAAAUUAUAAUUUUCAAGCACACCUAAUUUGCAAUUAAGCUAAGCAAUGAAAACAAAAUAAAUUAAAGAAGAAAAUUGGGGGAGCUAAUUUAAACAUACACCAACCCACAUUUUUUUAUAACUAUUCGAUUGAUGAGUAAGUUCGAGCUCAGAAUUUUUCCAGCUUUAUUAGCUAUUAUCAGGGUUUAUGAUUAGGGUUUGAAUUGGGAGAAGGCGGUGGUGCUGAGCGUUAGGGUUUGAAUUGGGUGAACGGAAUAUUGGAUGGCGGCCGCCAAUCCACAGCCUCUGCAAGCUCGACCAUUCGAGGAGCACGGGAGGGGGAGCGAGAGGGAAGAGAGAAGGAAGAA
rnacentral:lncRNA from 1 species